ACCAAAGCAGCAGCGAGUGCCAAACACUGUCACUGCUGGUGGAGAAGAUGUUAUUGUCACCGAGAUCUACAGAACUUUGUAAAGGAUCAAGAAAAAAGAAUGGAAGAAGAAAUUGAAGCAGAAGCAGAUGAGUAGACCUUUCUGAGAACCGGACGGACAUCUUAUUUCUUAUUGAGAACAAAAGGUUCCUGUAUUUUUCUUUGUAAAACAAUACCUGGUAGUAAUUUCUGCUGUCCAUUAAAUAAUUUUCCAGCAUUCAAA